UCGGUACGACCAUUCGAAGAUAUAUUAUAUAAAUAUAGAUUUUAGUUCGUUAAAGUUCCUUAGGGGUAUAAAUUUACACCUUCAUUAUUUUGAAACCGACUCACACUUGGCCAUUUUCAGAUUUUUCCCUUUACCUUGACAUAAAGACCUACCUCCAUGCCAAAUUUCAAGUCAAUACGACCAUUGGAAGUGGUCUAGGUUUUUGAUGAGUGAGUGAGUCAGUCAGUGAGUGUAUAGUAAAAAUAGCGAUUUUCUGACGUCAAUAUCUCAAGACCUACAAUAGGUAUAUUAAUGAAAUUUUGUAUUUUAGAUCAAUGAGGGGGUCUCAACAGAUACUAGAAAUUUGAUAUGCGUAAAUAAAAUAGAUUUUGAGUUAUAGGGGGGUCGAAUUUGGCCCGAAAUGGUUCGUGUAAUAUAACCCACGGCCGGUGUGUCGCUUUUUUUGCUCGAACUUGGCGGACACACUGCCGUGUGUCUAGAUUAUAGGUUCAAUUUGUUUUUGUUGUUAAGAAAAAAGAUAUUUAAGUUUUAUGAAAGUUUUUAGCAUAAAAUUUUUAUAUGUAUUAUUUAUUUUGGUGUUGCGUCAUUCGUAAUAAUUUUUAACUUUAAUUGAAUUUUUAUUACCUAUUACGGAAUUUUAAUUUAUUCUUAUAUUAUUUCUGAACAAUUCUAAGAUUUUUGUUUCGGCGGAGGGUAAGCCUGCUCAUAGAGGUAUUUAGCCUACUUCAAUCGAUCUCAGUGGCGUGCACUUGGAGAGGCCUAUGUCCAGCAGUGGACUGCGAUAGGCUGAUGAUGAUGAUGAUGAUGAUGAGGGUAAGCCUGGUGUUCUGAAAUAUAAUGCAAUUUGUAACUACCAAAGUAAUGUACUUAUUUGAUGAUGAGAAACAAUAAUAAUAAUUGAUUGAUUUUAAAGUCACCAAAUAUUUUUAACCGAAUCCCAAAAAGGAGGUGGUUCUCAAUUUGGAUGUUUGUUUUUGGUCGAAAGGGUAUAUUCCCCAUAUUUGUUAUUAGAUCCUGACCUGAUGAUAACGGGACCACCUCGGAAGUAUACGCUAUCAAACAAAAAAAGAAUCAUUAAAAUCGAUAAAUAAAUGGCUGAGUAAUCGCGUAACAAACAUACAAAAAAAAACGGUCGAAUUGAGAACCUCCGCUUUUUGGGAAGUCGGUUAAAAAUAAGUCGGCGGCGGCCAUCUUUCCAUCUUGGACCAGCUUUCGAUGAACAGCGAACUAUUUGCCCUUUCAAACAAUGAAAUCGUCAUAAAAUUUUGCGAUAACUACACCUAACUACGGCUCUCGUCAAAUAGCUUUGCCGCUCAGUUAAAAAGUUGGAAGUAACGAAUCGCCAUUAAGUUUGGCAGGUCUACAGGAAUCCUGCACAUAAAACACCCGAAGAAAUAAAUAAGUCUUCAUUUGCCGUCUUCAGAAACCCUAAAAACCGAAGAUUUUUUUUAUUCCGGCUACAACGUAUUUUCUACCACUGAUUUUCUAGCAUUUUUUUCAAAAUAAAUUAAGUCAUUUUACUUUUCCUAAUUUAUUUUCAGAUUAUGGUAAGUACCUAUACAAAAGUGCAAUUUAGUAAUAUUAUAAUAUAAAAUUAUUAAAUCGAUUCUUUAUUUUAACGAAUCGGAUCAUUCGAUGCAAAACUUCUAUCACCGUCGCCAUCUUGUCUAUGCGUCUUCAAAUUUAAAAAAAACAACUAAUGUAAACAAACAUGGCGAGUUCGAUCAGAAUUCCCGGUAAUUACGAUUGGAUUUUAAAAAGGUAUAUUUCUAACGGGAUGCUAAAUAUGAAAGGUUUGAAUGCGUAAAAAUAAUUUAAAUUUAUUUAGUUAUUUUAUUUAGUACUCACAAAUGUGGUUUGAUUGGAAAGAAAAUAAAUAUGAGCGUAAAUAAUUAGGAAAGUGUAUGACUGAUUCGCAGACCCCAAUUGGGGUCUAAACCGAGCUUACGGUGACAUUGAUGUUCAGACCCCGAUUGGGGUCCGCUACGGAUUUGACGGUUAAUACCUAUUA